rnacentral:rRNA from 1 species
CCUACGGGAGGCAGCAGUGGGGAAUUUUGGACAAUGGGGGAAACCCUGAUCCAGCCAUGCCGCGUGUAUGAAGAAGGCCUUAGGGUUGUAAAGUACUUUUGUUAGGGAAGAAAAGCUAGUUUUUAAUAAAAAUUAGUGAUGACGGUACCUAAAGAAUAAGCACCGGCUAACUACGUGCCAGCAGCCGCGGUAAU